CGACGAUCGAUAGCCGGACUGAGAGGUUGAACGGCCACAUUGGGACUGAGACACGGCCCAGACUCCUACGGGAGGCAGCAGUGGGGAAUAUUGCACAAUGGGGGAAACCCUGAUGCAGCGACGCCGCGUGGAGGAAGAAGGUCUUUGGUUUGUAAACUCCUGUUGUUGAGGAAGAUAAUGACGGUACCUCGCUAGAAAGCCACGGCUAACUACGUGCCAGCAGCCGCGGUAAUACGUAGGUGGCAAGCGUUAUCCGGAAUUAUUGGGUGUAAAGAGUGAGCAGGCGGUUUUUUAAGUCUGAAGUCAAAUCCUGUGGCUCAACCACAGUUCGCUUUGGAAACUGAAGAACUAGAGUGCGGGAGAGGUAAGCGGAAUUCCAUAUGUAGCGGUGAAAUGCACAGAUAUAUGGAGGAACACCGGUGGCGAAGGCGGCUUACCAGCCCGAUACUGACGCUCAGUCACGAAAGCGUGGGGAGCAAAUAGGCUUAGAUACCCUAGUAGUCCACGCCGUAAACGUUGAGGACCUGAUGCCGGAGUAUUUCGGUGUCGUAGCUAACGCGUUAAGUCCUCCGCCUGGGUACUACGUUCGCAAGAAUAAAACUUAAAGGAAUUGACGGGGGCCCGCACAAGCAGUGGAGCAUGUGGUUUAAUUCGUCGCUACGCGAAAAACCUUACCAGGGUUUGACAUCCCGCUAAAAGUCUUGGAAACAAGAUCAUAGUUAUAGCGGUGAAAGGUGGUGCAUGGUUGUCGUCAGCUCGUGUCGUGAGAUGUUGGGUUAAGUCCCCUAACGAGCGCAACCCUUGUCUCUAUUUGCCAUCAUUAAGUUGGGAACUAUAGAGAGACUGCCGGUGCAAACCGGAGGAAGAUGGGGAUGACGUCAAAUCAUCAUGCCCCUUAUGCCCUGGGCCACACACGUGCUACAAUGGCCGGUACAGAGAGAAGCAAUCCCGUGAGGAGGAGCAAAUCUCACAAAGCCGGUCUCAGUUCGGAUUGGAGUCUGCAACUCGACUCCAUGAAGCUGGAAUUGCUAGUAAUCGCAGAUCAGCAUUGCUGCGGUGAAUACGUUCCCGGGCCUUGUACACACUGCCCGUCACACCAUGAGAGUCGGCAAUACUCGAAGUCGUUAUCUUAACCCGCAAGGGAGGGAGGCGCCUAAGGUAGGGCUGAUGAUUGGGGUUAAGUCGUAACAAGGUAUCCCUACGGGAACGUGGGGAUG
rnacentral:rRNA from 1 species